CCCUUAGAUGUUCUGGGCCGCACGCGCGCUACACUGAUGCAUUCAACGAGUUUCUUCCUGGUCCGAGAGGAAUGGGUAACCUUUUGAAAGUGCAUCGUGAUAGGGAUAGACUAUUGCAAUUAUUGGUCUUCAACGAGGAAUUCCUAGUAGACGUAGUUCAUCAGACUGCAUCGAUUACGUCCCUGCCCUUUGUACACACCGCCCGUCGCUACUACCGAUUGAAUGGCUUAGUGAGCCUUUGGGAUUGGCAGCCAACACCGGCAACGGUAGCUGGCCGCCGAAAACUUAUGCAAACUUGGUCAUUUAGAGGAAGUAAAAGUCGUAACA
rnacentral:rRNA from 1 species